rnacentral:rRNA from 1 species
CCUACGGGAGGCAGCAGUCGAGAAUCAUUCACAAUGGGGGAAACCCUGAUGGUGCGACGCCGCGUGAGGGAAUGAAGGUCUUCGGAUGGUAAACUCCUUUCAUGUGGAAGCAAAUUAAAAAGAUAGUACCACACGAAGAAGAGACGGCUAACUCUGUGCCAGCAGCCGCGGUAAUACAGAGGUUGCAAGCGUUGUUCGGAAUCACUGGGCGUAAAGCGUGCGUAGGCUGUUUCGUGAGUCGUGUGUGAAAGGCGCGGGCUCAACCCGCGGAAGGCACAUGAUACUGCGAGACUAGAGUGAUGGAGGGGGAAGCGGAAUUCCCGGUGUAGCAGUGAAAUGCGUAGAUAUCGGGAGGAACACUCGUGGCGAAGGCGGGUUCCUGGACAGUAACUGACGCUGAGGCACGAAGGCGUGGGGAGCGAAAGGGAUUAGAUACCCGAGUAGUC